GUGUCUUCUAACAAGGAAACUCUA
rnacentral:snRNA from 1 species